rnacentral:misc_RNA from 1 species
AAAGAAUUGAAGUUUCUAAAACUUCCAAUUCCCAACCCUUUGUUUAAUUAAACCUCUUGUUGCUUUGGUAUAGCCUGUAAUUAAUGCUUUCCUUAAAACGAACGCUUAUUUACUAUUAAGUUGCUUACCAAUAGCCUAUUUAAACUCAUGUUUUAAUUAUGUCAUGUCUGAAAUUUUAAUUAUAAAUUAAAAA